rnacentral:rRNA from 1 species
ACUGGCGCACGGGUGAGUAACACGUGGAUAUCUACCCUUUACACAGACAUAACUCAGGGAAACUUGAGCUAAUAUCUGAUGAGGCCUCCGGGUCAAAGCUUCGGCGGUAAAGGAUGAGUCUGCGUCUGAUUAGCUAGUUGGUAAGGUAAUGGCUUACCAAGGCGACGAUCAGUAACUGGUCUGAGAGGACGAUCAGUCACACUGGAACUGAGACACGGUCCAGACUCCUACGGGAGGCAGCAGUGAGGAAUUUUGGACAAUGGGGGAAACCCUGAUCCAGCGACGCCGCGUGUGGGAUGAAUGGGUUUGCCCUGUAAACCACUGUCAGCAGAGAAGAAAAGGUUCCUUUGGAACCCGGGACUGUAUCUGCAGAGGAAGGACCGGCUAACUACGUGCCAGCAGCCGCGGUAAUACGUAGGGUCCAAGCGUUAUCCGGAAUUACUGGGUAUAAAGGGUGCGUAGGCGGCCUUGUGCGUCGAAGGUUAAAGGCCAUGGCUCAACCAUGGAAAUGCCCUCGAUACGGCAAGGCUUGAGUAUGAGAGAGGAAGAUGGAAUUCCUGGUGUAGCAGUGAAAUGCGUAGAUAUCAGGAGGAACACCGGUGGCGAAGGCGGUCUUCUGGCUCAUUACUGACGCUGAGGCACGAAAGUGUGGGGAGCGAACAGGAUUAGAUACCCUGGUAGUCCACACCGA